GACAGAGGCCUCAAGCGUUAGGCGGAAUCACCGGGCUUAAAGCGUGUGUAGGCGGAUCGUUAAGUGUCUUGUGAAAUCCCACGGCUCACCCGUGGAACGGCUGGGCAUACUGGCGAUCUUGGGCCAACUAGGGGCAACUGGAACAAGCGGUGGAGCGGUGAAAUGCGUAGAUAUCGCUUGGAACGCCGAAGGUGAAAACAGGUUGCUGGGGUUGUGCCGACGCUGAGACACGAAAGCCAGGGGAGCAAACGGG
rnacentral:rRNA from 1 species